rnacentral:rRNA from 1 species
GAUGAACGCGGCGGCGUGCUUAACACAUGCAAGUCGAACGAGAAAUGAUAUUACGAUCUCUUCGGAGUGACGAUUUUAUUUCGAGUGGCGGACGGGUGAGUAACGCGUGAGCAACCUGCCCUGUACCGGGGGAUACCAGUUGGAAACGACUGUUAAUACCGCAUAAGCGCACGAUAAGACAUCUUGUUGUGUGAAAAACUCCGGUGGUAUAGGAUGGGCUCGCGUAUGAUUAGCCAGUUGGCGGGGUAAAGGCCCACCAAAGCGACGAUCAUUAGCCGACCUGAGAGGGCGACCGGCCACAUUGGGACUGAGACACGGCCCAAACUCCUACGGGAGGCAGCAGUGGGGAAUAUUGCACAAUGGGCGAAAGCCUGAUGCAGCGACGCCGCGUGAGUGAGGAAGUAUUUCGGUAUGUAAAGCUCUAUCAGCAGGGAAGAAAGAAAUGACGGUACCUGAGUAAGAAGCUCCGGCUAAAUACGUGCCAGCAGCCGCGGUAAUACGUAUGGAGCAAGCGUUAUCCGGAUUUACUGGGUGUAAAGGGAGCGUAGGCGGCAGAGCAAGUCUGAUGUGAAAGCCCGGGGCUCAACCCCGGUAGUGCAUUGGAAACUGUUCAGCUCGAGUGUCGGAGGGGUAAGCGGAAUUCCUGGUGUAGCGGUGAAAUGCGUAGAUAUCAGGAAGAACACCGGAGGCGAAGGCGGCUUACUGGACGAUUACUGACGCUGAGGCUCGAAAGCGUGGGGAGCGAACAGG